GAGACACCCUUAUGGGGCAGGACUUGCUUCAGUGGGGCUUUGGUGCUCACUGAGUCUGCCGCUUGUGUGGGUCUCU
rfam:Myotis davidii contig131528, whole genome shotgun sequence.